rnacentral:lncRNA from 1 species
CCAUGGUUGGCUCAGUAUCCUCCACGCAGGUGAGCCCUUCGGUACAAACCCAGCAACAUCAGCUGCAGCUGCAGCAGCAGCAGCAACAACAGCAGCAGCAGCAGCAGAUGCAGCAGAUGCAACAGCAGCAGCUGCAGCAGCACCAGAUGCAUCAGCAGAUUCAGCAGCAGAUGCAGCAACAGCAUUUCCAGCACCACAUGCAACAGCACCUGCAGCAGCAGCAACAGCAGCACCUCCAGCAGCAGAUCAGCCAACAGCAGCUGCAGCAGCAGCUGCAGCAGCAUCUCCAGCUGCAGCAGCAGCUGCAGCACAUGCAGCACCAGUCUCAGCCUUCUCCCCGGCAGCACUCGCCCGUCACCUCACAGAUCACGUCCCCCAUCCCCGCCAUUGGCAGCCCCCAGCCAGCCUCUCAGCAGCACCAGCCUCAAAUCCAGUCGCAGACACAGACUCAAGUGUUACCGCAGGCUAUACCUACAAUAUGUGAAUCAACCUGUUUAAUGACUCCUGGGACACACCGAUGACUGUAGACUGGCCUUUCCGAGUCAUAGAAAAAAAAAACAAAACAAAAAAGAUGGCCUUAUUUCUCCAGAAGUGAGCGACCCACACUUCCAGGCUAUUUGAACUUCCGAAGCCCUAAGAUAAAUAAGUACAAAGCACAGUCAUAACUACCUGAAAUCUGCAGAUCCAGUUUCAUACAAACGUUUGUAUGAUGGGAAUAGUUGAUGGCAUUUUUUUGUCAUGAAGAAAAAUAAUGUAAAUCACAGACUUUUGCCAAAGCUCUUAUUUUUUUUCCUAAAUCUGUCCAGAAAAAAAAUUGCAAGCGAUUAGAUUCAAUGAUUGAUUUAUUUACAUACUUCUACUUUGUAUCCAUGACUUCUCUGAAUCAAACCACGGCAUACGUUGUGACAAUAUCUAUAGCCACCGUUAGCCCUUCAUGUCCAUUCCGAUUAGAAGAAAUGUGAAUACUAUAUUACGUGUUUUGAGUGAUGAGUUUGGGGAAAAUUAAAAACACUGUAUUUUUAAAAGGGAAAAAUGCACUUAAAUGAAAGCAGUUAUUACAAAAGUUAAGAUUUAAAAAAGAAAAAGCGAGAGUUUUUAUUAUGAUGUAAUACCGGUAGAAUAUUGAAUAUUUAAAAGGCACACUACAUCUGAAAUAAUCAAUGUAAAUAUUUUCUUUCCAAGUUGUAAGUUUUCCUAUCAUGUGUUGUAAAGUUUUCCUAAACGAGGCUUUAACGUAAACACUGGUGACAUGAACCAUUCAUUGCUACCUUGUUCAUUGUGUUUUUAUGCUGUUUUAUACUUUUUUAUGAGUUAUGAUAGCAGCAAUUAAGUUGUUUGUAUUUUGCUUAACUAAAACAAAAAUGCUUUUAUCUUGCUAUAGAAUAAACACAUUUCAGUAAAAUCCGUGGACUGUAUUUUGAUGCUACAGCAAGGACAUUGUUCACUUUGCAAAUAAAAUGGAAUGUCAAAUUUUACUUUUGGUCCCUUGAAUACGUUAAGUCGGGGAACAUGGCACUGACCAGCCCUGCCUGGCUGAUCCUUCUCCUCCAUUAUCAUCCAAAGCACAGUAUUCAUGGCCAAGAAUUUGGAUUUUACAACUCAAACUCCAGGGCCCCGAAAAAAAGAUGGGAAAACUUUUGUAAUUAUCUUUUUGUUAAGAUAUAAAUUCGAUGCAGAUAAUUUACAAAUAAAAUGCAGAUAAGCUAC